CUACUGAAGGGCGUGAGGGCCUGGCCCAGGUGGUCCAGCUCAGCAUCCGGUGCUUGUGCUCUCCCAGCUCCAGAGCGCCCUCUGGGGUUGGCCACUGCUUUCUGUGGGACUGCAUCCCCGCUCAACUCCCCCUGCCCUUUCCUGCUUCCUGCUCUCCCCUUGCUGGUCUUACUCUUGAGAGAACUCCCUCAUAAAGUCCUGCUUGCUAACUUCUGUUUCACAGUCCACUUCCUGAGGAACCAAACCUGGGACAAUCCUCUCAACAGCCUUAUGGGUGGGCCUCAUCCAAUUAGUUGAAGGCCUUAAUAGAACAAAGACUGAUGUCCCCUGAGCAAAGAGGGAGUUCUGUGAGCAGACUGCCUUUGGACUCAGACUGCAACUCUUCCCUGGGUCCCCAGCCUGCUGGCCUACCCUGCAGAUUUUGGACUUACUCCUCCACAAUUAUGUGGCCUCCUUGGUGCUGAAUGAAGCUUUGCUUAAUGUGGCUGCCUGUGGAAUUAUAUUUGGAGGGAUUGCUAUUAAUGGAAACCAGUGAAGGAGCAGUCACUCGUUCCUCACAAGCACAGAGGUCUUUUGUGAUGGAGAUGACAGCUUUCCUCAUUUCAUACACGGUCCCUCGUGAACCUGAAGAGGGAAGGAUGCAUGCGUGUUUGAACAAGACUUCAAAGGAAGCCUGGGACCCGGCCUCCAUUCCAGAGUUGCUGUCAGGUCAGCCCCUGGAGCCACCCACAGUUCUCAUUCCUGUCUCACGUCCUUCAAGGACUUCCUGCUACUCUUGGGAAGAGCCAAAUUUCUUCACCGAGCCCACCAAGCCCAUGGCAGUGUCACCCCAGCUAACCUUGCCUGCUUAUCUCCCAUCCACCCUGCCCUGCAGUCCCACUGCAGAGUCUCACCUUCCCCAAAAUAUCCUACGCGGGUGCCUCCCUGUCAGAAAUGCCAUUCUCCCUUUUGUUGUCUGGAUCCUCUCCAUCUCAUCCUUCAAGACCCUGGCAGAAGUCUUCUUAGGGAGUCCUCCCCAUCUGUCCCAGGUAGAGGGAAUCAUCCCCACCUCUUUGCUCC
rnacentral:lncRNA from 1 species